rnacentral:lncRNA from 1 species
UUUUUGAAGGCUGGAUGUUUCCUCUUUAACUAGACCCAAAGGAGAACAUUGUUGAGUUUAACUAAGCAGAAAGAUUAGGGGGAGGCCUUCCAGAGAAGUAGUCUUCUUCUCUUAUUACACCGUAUUUUUUAGCAAAAUAUGACACCAAAACACGUGAAUAAGCGAAAAGAAGUCAAUUUUAACUAAAGAUGGUGUACUGUAGUAUUUCCACUUACAGGCAGUAACAAAUAACAUCCACUUGAGUGCUGCCCAGAGGUACUUUUUGGGGGUAUCUGUGCUUUACUUCAGUGAUUUUAACUCCACUUCGUCUUUAUGGAUGUUCUCAUUACCCACUACUUUUGUUCUGAAGUCAGCUGAUGAUUUUGAUUUCUUGUCCAAAAUCAAAUCAGAAAGACAACAAACUACAUUCCUGUUCUUUGGUGGUUUGUCCAAGUGGUGUUGCCGUACCUGUACAUAUCACACCUCAACGGUUGAAAUCCUGUUUCCUCUGUUUGAUAUAGGCAAGCUUCAUCACCACUCAAUCAAAGAACACAUGUUGAGGUAUCAAUUUAAACAUCUCCUUUAUUUCGGAUGAACUUUUAAAACUGAGUUGUCCGUGCAUGAAGCAACUUAGAUGUUGUUUUUAUAUGUUUAGUUUUCACUGUUAUUAUCUGAUCUCUGUCAUUGUUGCAUUUUGUGAAAGUGUUGAAAAAUGGUGGUGUGAGAUGGCAGCCUCUGAGGAUGGAGUCCCACUAAAAAGGAAAAAAAAAAAAAAGGAAAAAUGAUAAUAAAAAUUGAUGAUAAUGAUUUUGAUAUUCAGGUGAUUUUACGCAGAUGUUUGCUCUGGUAAGUAUCGCUAAAUACACGCUGUACCUCAAUUUAAAUGUGUUUUCCUGUGUAUUUAAAAGCCUCUGUUUUCUGUCUUCCAUCUAUAUUAAAAUGCAGCUGUGAUCACUUUGUUAGGACGAGAAGUGCUUUAGUAAAAACACUGAGUCUGACGUUUCACAACGUUAUGAACCUCUGUGUUUUGUGGGAGGUGAAAAGGAGGAGGGGACUGAAAGACUUUGACUGACAAUCUGUUAUUCUCUGUGGUGACAAAAGGAUUUUGACCAUCUAUCUUCUCGUCUUUUUUUUUCCUUUGCGUCUCUUACAGAUCUUUGUCCACCAAAUAAAACUCGAGCUUGUGGUGCUAUCUCAGCUGAAGGCCUGUCUGCUCCUCCCUGCAGCUUGCUGGCCUGAUCCAGCCGUUACAGUGUGGUGAGGCCAUGAUAAGGUUAUCGGGGAGCCUGUACCGACCGGCUAACUCUGCGAGAGUCUGCUGCCCUCAGAUUUCACCCCCCUGCUCGUACUCCACCUCCCUUCUGUCAGCCUCUGGAGCUCAAAGUUCUGAACCGGCAGCUGCUGUUAGUCACAUGCAAAGCUUUCGGUGUACAUGCUCAUAUUUGGAUAAGUGAUGUAGAGUUAAGGCCCCGCCUACAAAGCCUUGUCAAUUUCUGUAGGCAAAACCAAAGAUUAUCAGUAAUAGCUUUAGCUGCGCUCUAACUUAUUCACUGUGUCUUUGAUAUUAAGCUCUGCAUGUGGCAGAACUCAUCACACAACUCGACAGGGAUUAAACUCAUAACUACAUGUUACUGUAAAAACAAAAGAAAUGAGAAAGUAUGCAAUAUUUUUGUUAUCUUCACUAGAAGAUUGCACUGGCAUGAAAGGACUGUCAGUAUUUACAGUAUUUGGUCAUGCACGUACCAAGCUCGGUUAAAACUACAAACUCCUAUGGUGGUUUUUAGGAUUUACUCCACACUUCAAUAUUAAGCUGCACAACAUGUAGUCCUUGUUACAGCAUUCCUCUAAACCCAAACAUGCUAACAUGCUUGUUACUCUGUGAAAGUCAGUGUUUGACCAAACUCAGUUGAUGGUUAAAAGCUGGCCAUUCACCCCUUCAUCAGCUGUUGUUUACUCAAGUGUCUUAAAAAUGUCCUAAUAUUCUUGGGUUGAGCUGCAAGUGUGAAAGCAAGCAGCCAAAACUUUCAACCUGACCUCAUCAAAAACUUUCUUCACCAGAAGUUGGGAUAGCCAACGAGAAAACUCAGCAGAAAAUAUUGGAGAAUAUUCAUCAUGGAUGAGCAGGAGAGCGGUGAUUAUCUUUAUUUCAGAUGACAGGAAACACCCAAGGCUGAAUUAGGACAAUAACUUUCAAGACCAGAACUAUGAAGAUGUCUGUCGUUGUUCACCAACAAGUUACUGUGAUUGUCCCACUAUGCCUUUAAUGUCAUGCCCUGCCCCCAAAUAGACUCUCCCCCAUCUACCUCCCACCUCAACCAAAAAAGAAGAAGUGUGUGAACAAGAAGCUCCUUAAAAAUAUCCCAAAUAUCCCAAAAUAGUCAGAAGUUCUUAUGUAAAAGAGGCUUAAGUAAAAAUUUUGACGCCCGCCUCGCAGUAGUAGUUAUUAGACAUUAAAAAUAAUGAUAUCCCAAUAGUCUUGUUGCUGAUGGUUUUGUGCGCAUAUGUACAUCAUGAAAUGGCAUCAUUAUGUAUUUCAGUGUAUUCCAUAGGUGUCUAAAAUCUUCUCACAGGUACUUUAACUCUUUGGGCUGUGCUGCAACACAUUGCGAAUAAUUAUUGUUGGAAUUGGACUCGUUACAUUUUUCAUCUCUGUUGUGUUACCUGUUGUGUAUGAUCCUUUCAUAUUGGGAGUUUAAAAAUAUACGAUUGUUGUAAUCAGAAGGGUAAAUGAAUGACAUUUGUGUGAACUAAAAUAUCUUGUACCAUCCCUACAGGAGUUGGUGUCCAAAUUGGGCCACUGUGCCAAAAAGUCUGAACACACACCAAAAAGGAUCAGCAGUCACAUGUUUAGAUAUGUAUUGGCAUUCCAAACAGGCCUGUUAAUUUCAAAGUGUUUUCCAAUAGAAUGAAAUGUUUUAAUUAAUGUCAUUAAGGCAUUUAACUCCUUCAAGCCCUUGCUGCAGAGCCAGAAAAGAUCAUAACAUAUCCCAUCUUAGACUCAGGAAGUAUCCUUUAAACUGCCACAUGAACUUCUUCUGUUUCCUGCAUUGCAGCACUAUUUAUAAUGAUAACAAGCUGAAUGUGACUUGAAUGCACCAGAAUGUGUUGCUUACUCUUAAAAAUAAGUUUUUUAAAUCCCAGAAAUUCAACCUCAGGAAAUAUCGCUCUUCUUUAUCAUGCAAAUCUUGUAUGUCACUUUGUGGGAGUGGCCCUUAAAAGCGCUUAUCUAAGGGAGAGCAGACACAAAGAAUAAGGGUCCCCAGUAAUCAAAUACCAUCACACACCCUCAGUAUGUGACAGCAGAAGGAUGUGGUCUCACAGCAUCUUCCUGUGUCCAGUCAUAGAGAGGAAAUCUGCUGACACUUAAUGUUUCUUUUCUAAAAUUAUUCCCGUCUUAAAAGCACACAGUGAUGGCUCAGUGACAUGUCCUCAACACUAACUUUACAAAAAAAUUAUAUUAUUCUCAUGAGUUACUUUGUGAAAUAAUUCUUAAUGUUGCAUUUCGUCAAUAAUCUGAAAAAUCUCAGAGAGAGAUUUGGCAAUAAUUUAAGUUUGAAAAACAUACCUGAAAGCAAACAUCAGAGAACAGCUAAUAAUAUCCUGGUGAUUAUUAACUGGGACAAGGACAGAAAUUCAAUGAAACCAUGUAAUGGUGCCAUAACUGUGGCUCAACUUAGCCUGUAAAUAUACAGAUGGUUAAACAGCAUCUUUAGCUUCUUACUUCAACAACCACAGCAGCAUUUGGCAAAAAGUACAGUAAACGGGAUCACUCUCUUAACUAUACCACCU